UACCAGGGUAGUACCAGGGUAAUUGCAGUUGCCCUUGUACUACCCCGGUAUUACACUGCAGUUACCCCGGUACUACCGUGGUA